rnacentral:rRNA from 1 species
GAUGAACGCUGGCGGCGUGCCUUAUACAUGCAAGUCGAACGAACACACGAGGACCGUGCUCCUCUCGCGUUACCGACGGGCGGGUGAUUCACACGUGCGUGACCGACCGAUGGGGCUAAGGUAACGUCGGUUAACCUGAUCUAAUACACGAUAAUAGAUUGAACCGCAUGGUUCAAUAGUCAACGACCGUUUUGCUGUCACGUAGACAUGUAACGAUGCCGCAUUAGCUAGUUGGUAAGGUAACGGCCUACCAAGGCAACGAUGCGUAGCCGACCUGAGAGGGCGACCAGCCACACUGGAACUGAGACACGGCCCAGACUCCUACGGGAGGCAGCAGUGGGGAAUUUUGGGCAAUGGGCGCAAGCCUGACCCAGCCACGCCGCGUGCAUGACGAAGGUCUUCGGAUCGUAAACUGCUGUUAUACGGGACGAAAAGGUGUGUACGAAUACCUGCGGCUCAUGACGGUACCUAAUGAGUAAGCAACGGCUAACUACGUG